AUGAACUCUGGAGCCGUGAGGAUCCACAGUAAAGGACAUUUCCAGGGUGGAAUCCAAGUCAAAAAUGAAAAAAACAGACCAUCUUUGAAAUCUCUGAAAACUGAUAACAGGCCAGAAAAAUCCAAAUAUAAGCCACUUUGGGGAAAAGUAUUUUACCUUGACUUACCUUCUGUCACCAUAUCUGAAAAACUGCAAAAGGACAUUAAGGAUCUGGGAGGGCGAGUUGAAGAAUUUCUCAGCAAAGAUAUCAGUUAUCUUAUUUCAAAUAAAAAGGAAGCUAAAUUUGCACAAACCUUGGGUCGAAUUUCUCCUGUACCAAGUCCAGAAUCUGCAAAUACUGCAGAAACCACUUCACCUCAUCCCAGCCAUGAUGGAAGUUCAUUUAAGUCACCAGACACAGUGUGUUUAAGCAGAGGAAAAUUAUUAGUUGAAAAAGCUAUCAAGGACCAUGAUUUUAUUCCUUCAUAUAGUAUAUUAUCAAAUGCCUUGUCAUGGGGAGUAAAAAUUCUUCAUAUUGAUGACAUUAGAUACUACAUUGAACAAAAGAAAAAAGUUGCAUUCACUCAAGAAAUCAAGUACUUCAGUAAGAGAUGGGGGCAAAAGAGUUGGUAGUGGUGCACAAAAAACAAGAACAGGAAGACUCAAAAAGCCUUUUGUAAAGGUGGAAGAUAUGAGCCAACUUUAUAGGCCAUUUUAUCUUCAGCUGACCAAUAUGCCUUUUAUAAAUUAUUCUAUUCAGAAGCCCUGCAGUCCAUUUGAUGUAGACAAGCCAUCUAGUAUGCAAAAGCAAACUCAGGUUAAACUAAGAAUCCAAACAGAUGGCGAUAAGUAUGGUGGAAACUCAAUUCAACUCCAGUUGAAAGAGAAGAAGAAAAAAGGAUAUUGUGAAUGUUGCUUGCAGAAAUAUGAAGAUCUAGAAACUAAUAAAAUACAGUGUUGGAUCCCUUUCUCCUGUUUCUGCAAGUGUCCUGAAAAAGACUGAACGAAAGGAAAAAGUGGAAUUGCAACAUAUUUCUCAGAAAGAUUGCCGGGAAGAUGAUAUAACGGUGAUAGAGCAGAAUUUCCUGUAUAAAGAGACCCAGGAAACUGAAAAAAACUUCUGUUUAUUUCAGAGCCCAUCCCCCACCCUUCAAAUGACUUGAGAGGGCUUAACAAGAAAAUGAGUAAUAAAUGUUCCAUGUUAAGUACAGCUGAAGAUGACAUAAGACAGAAUUUUACACAGCUACCUCUACAUAAAAACAAACAGGAAUGCAUUCUUGACAUUUCCGAACACACAUUAAGUGAAAAUGACUUACAAGAACUAAGGAUAGAUAACUAUAAAUGUAACAUACAGGCAUCUGUUCAUGUUUCUGAUUUCUGUACAGAUAAUAGUGCAUCUCAACCAAAACAAAAGUCAGAUCCUGUGCUUUUUCCAGCAAAGGAUCUCAAGGAAAAGGACCUUCAUUCAAUAUUUACUCAUGAUUCUGGUCUGAUAACAAUAAACAGUUCACAAGAGCACCUAACUGUUCAGGCAAAGGCUCCAUCACAUACUCCUCCUGAGGAACCCAAUGAAUGUGACAUCAAGAAUAUGGAUAGUUUACCUUCUGGUAAAAUACAUCGAAAAGUGAAAAUAUUAUUAGGACAAAAUAGAAAAGAAAAUCUGGAACCAAAUGCUGAAUUUGAUAAAAGAACUGAAUUUAUUACACAAGAAGAAAACAGAAUUUGUAGAUCACCGGUACAGUCUUUACCAGACUUGUUUCAGACUAGUGAAGAGAAAUCAGAAUUUUUGGGUUUCACAAGCUAUACAGAAAAGAGUGGUAUAUGCAAUGUUUUAGAUAUUUGGGAAGAGGAAAAUUCAGAUAAUCUGUUAACAGUGUUUUUCUCGUCCCCUUCAACUUCUACAUUUACUGGCU
rnacentral:lncRNA from 1 species